rnacentral:tRNA from 1 species
CCGACCUUAGCUCAGUUGGUAGAGCGGAGGACUGUAGUGGGAACACAGCUAAUCCUUAGGUCGCUGGUUCGAUUCCGGCAGGUCGGA